rnacentral:misc_RNA from 1 species
GAUUUUUAGGUGAGAUUCAUCACCAGCACGGACAGUGAUAAAAAUUUAUUGAAGGAACAGAGAACAUAACCAUAGCCCAUUUAUUAACAUUAAAAAAGUGUGACUAAUUACAAAUUAUGUAAUGAAUUAAUCUUGCGUCGAUAUGUCUGCAGGUAAAAACCCUCUAGGUUGCUGGAAAAUGAUUACCAUCUUCUAUGUUUUGGCAUGUAAGAACCCAAAUGUUUGUCAUCAAACUUGUUAACAUGCUGACAGCUUUAAUCUGGAUUUGGCGGAAAACCUAAUGAUCAACAGCCAUUAAAUUCCAAGUUGAACCAGAACGAGUACAUCUACUUAACAGAAUCAUUGAAGACAAUUCCGAAAGAAACGGACACCCUGCAAUGCGAAUGUGAUGUCAGCUGCAUCUAUUUUUAGGUUCAGUCUUCUCAAUUUAUCAUCACGACACUGACCCAGUUUGAGAAUCCCCUGGUCAUUUAACACUUGACACAUGCUCAAAAAUUCCAAAACUCCAACUGGUGGUAUCAUUGUUGACUUGCAUACGUCUAUGUAAGAUUUGUUCAGCUCUCCUAUGACGGUAUCCUUCUUUCCUCCUCGGAAAAACUUCACAGCAGCACAUAGAAUCAUUUGUUGAUGCUGAGGAAGAGAUUGAAUGGUGUCCACUAUAGGUGAUCUAUAUGCUUUUGACAAAGCAACAGCCAUGUGAUCAAUUCCCACAAUCAUGGAUUCCUGCUUUUUAAAGAAUUCACAAGCUGGCGCUGUUUGUGGAUGGGGCAACUCAUUCUCCACUGCAGAUGAACUCAGAUUGCUUGCAGAUUCUCUCAAUUCUCCUUCUAGAAUCUCAAUUGCGCUCCUGCAAACACAUAGUGCUUUCCUCAUGUCUCCAGAAGCAGCUGCAACUUUUCUGGCACAGAGCUCCAAUGCUUGUGGGUGAAAAACAGUCCAAGGUAGUGCCAUCAGCCUCUCCUUAAGUAUUCUGAGGAUUUGAUCCUUUGAAUAGGCUCUAAAAUUCACAACCAUAGGCUUGCAAUUCAUUGACUGAAGUCUUGGAAGAAAACGAUCUGCUAGAUCUAUGGCAUUUGCUAUGCCUAUUAAUAUACAUCGAGAACAAGGGAAAGUUGUAAGCAUGAAAAGAUCAUGAAGGACACCUCUGUCUUUAGUGAUCAAGUAAUCCAACUCAUCAGCAACUAUUAACGUCAUGUUUGAGCCAGAUGACUGCUGCUGUUGAGAAUACAAGUUCUGAAUAUGUUGUAGAGGUGAAGCAGAUCCAUUUAUUCUCUUUCUUGGGAGGUUUUUGCCCAUUAUCUUGCUGAAAAUCUCCGAUGUAUUUGCUAGAGAAGUACAAUUCAUGCUCAACAUAUCUGGACACUUUAAACCCAUCUCUUUAGCCCAAUCAACCAAAUGUUGCUUCACUUUCUCCAUUGAUAAUGACUUCCCCGUCCCAGGGCACCCGCACACAUAUAAACUUCCAGCCUUUUCCUGUUCUAUACACGCCUUACAGAAAUCAAAAAUCCUUUUCUGCUCAUCCUCACGGCACACAACAACAGAUGGAGCAGUUGAUACAUGCAAAGCCUCUUUCACUGCACUAAUUUGCCCUAUAUCUCUAGGAUUCCAACUCGGUUUGCCUGUGAAAUUAUCGUGCAAUUUCUUUGGUGGAAUUUCGCACGUUUUCUCUUGCUGUUUGCUAGAAUCCUUCUCAAUUUCAAUUGCAGGGGAAAUAGGGCUGGAAUUCAAGCAUCGACGAGGCGAUUUCCGCUUCACCAGUGAAGAUACCAGGGUUUCCUGCACCAGCGGUCCGUUAGAUCUCAACUUCCGCUUCUGAGGCGUGGUUGAUUGAGCAUUGGAUGGAGAGAUCUCGCUGGGCUUUUCCGAUUUGACGGGCACCAUUACCUUGUGGGGAGAAGAAUUGCGAGCUGCGAUUGAAGGCAUUGUGCAGUUGAAAAAAACUGAAUUACGUUUGGAUGGAGAGAAAAUCAAAAAUAAGAAAG